UACGUAGGGAGCAAGCGUUAUCCGGAAUUAUUGGGUGUAAAGGGUGCGUAGACGGGAUAACAAGUUAGUUGUGAAACCCCUCGGCUCAACUGAGGAACUGCAACUAAAACUAUUAUUCUUGAGUGCAGGAGAGGAAAGUGGAAUUCCUAGUGUAGCGGUGAAAUGCGUAGAUAUUGGGAAGAACACCGGUGGCGAAGGCGACUUUCUGGACUGUAACUGACGUUGAGGCACGAAAGUGUGGGGAGCAAACAGG
rnacentral:rRNA from 1 species